CCUACGGGUGGCAGCAGUGGGGAAUAUUGGACAAUGGGGGCAACCCUGAUCCAGCCAUGCCGCGUGUGUGAAGAAGGCCCUCGGGUUGUAAAGCACUUUCAGUGAGGAAGAACGCCUGGUGGUUAAUACCCAUCAGGAAAGACAUCACUCACAGAAGAAGCACCGGCUAACUCCGUGCCAGCAGCCGCGGUAAUACGGAGGGUGCGAGCGUUAAUCGGAAUUACUGGGCGUAAAGCGCGCGUAGGUGGCUUGAUAAGCCGGUUGUGAAAGCCCCGGGCUCAACCUGGGAACGGCAUCCGGAACUGUCAAGCUAGAGUGCAGGAGAGGAAGGUAGAAUUCCCGGUGUAGCGGUGAAAUGCGUAGAGAUCGGGAGGAAUACCAGUGGCGAAGGCGGCCUUCUGGACUGACACUGACACUGAGGUGCGAAAGCGUGGGUAGCAAACAGGAUUAGAUACCCUUGUAGUCC
rnacentral:rRNA from 1 species